AGCACAAGGGAAGGGAAGGGGUUGUGUUCGGGCCGCGUCGCGUAUGUAUGUAUGUGUAGCUGAGUUGAAGGGAGAAGGAGGUGGCUUUCAGGUUGGAAAAGCGAGGGUUAGGUGGUGGGUAGCGGGUGGUGGUUAGGGGGGGAGAGGGAGCAAGCGAACUAAGCUAGUCUCUCUCGGGGCGGUGGCGGUGGCGGUGGCGGUGGCGGUGGUCUGGAGCUGGUCAGUUAGGGGAGAUCCCAAAGCGGAUAGCGCGGCGGGUUAGCCUAGGUGGAGGUUACUACUGCUACUCGCUACUGCCUCUGGCGUGGACGGGCGAGACGCGGCUCCUCUACCUGUAGUGACUGGUCGUUGAGUUCGGGACGUUUACACCGAUGCUCUAAACACAGACCACGACCGUGGUGUAGUAACUGUACCGACUCUUUCUCCUGUGUCUCCCCGCGACGGGACGGACGGCGUGUGCGAUACUGUUCCUGUCCUAACAAUUCUACCGACGGUGCACACUGUCUUGCCAUCGUCUAUUUUUAUGUCUGUUCUUCGUCUUCUGGGUUUUCCAAUUCAGUUUCUGUGACUGACACCUUCGAUUCUUCGUAGACCGGUCACAGUCUCAAUAGGUCUCUUUGGACCAGAUGUAUUAACCCGAUGGACGUUUAAAUACGUUACUCUCACAUGAACUCGCGUCCCUUAUGAAACCAGUCAUACCUUUCCAAAACUUCCAAAGUCAAAGAGCAGGUUGACCCCGAGGAAGGGUCGUCUGUAGUUGCUUGUUGCCAUAGUCGCAUAUAUAAUGAAUACGGUUUCUUCUUCUCCGGUAGGCCACAUAAGUCCGACAUGUGUUAAAACAGAACCUUCCCUUUCACGAUUCUCGUACGAAACCGUGGUGCUUUAUAACGGUACGUACCGACGCCUUGUACUGUACACCCUUAGGUCUAACAGAGAUAAACGUACUACAUCCGUCAGUCCUCCUAUCAAAGUGAUUUCUACUCUAUUAGAGUCGAAUAUGGUCCUCAUCCCAAGGAGUUUACCGCAGAUCACAAAGGGUUUCUGCACGUCCUUGACAUAACGGAGGAGGUCGUCUCCUAAAGAGAAUGUCACGCCACCAAAGUCGGUUUGUAUGUUAGUUCUUACCUUGUUGAUUAUGGUGUCCGGUCAGUUCUGACAGUGGAGGUUUGUCAUCAAGUCCCUCCAGGUGCGAAGGUAGUCGAUGAAGUACCCCCGUAGCACUAAACUUGUGUGCCUGUUGGCGCUGACUCCACCGCAGGAGUGUUAGAGAAUGAUUUAGUUUUCGUCUCCGCGUAUCAUUAAGUGAAAGUUCAAGAAGAUACUAAAGCUUAAGUUCUGAUGGAAGAAGUACCUUACUACUAUGUUCGUGUCAUGACUUUUACUGACUUCCUGCCGUUCAUAGUCUUGCUCUAUCAAACAGAUUUUGGAACUUCGGUAUAUCUGGACCAUAACGUUUCCUUUGGGUUCGACACUGUAGUAACCUCAGAAGCAACCUGUAUCUGAAAAGAUGUUAUGGAAGUCGGACCUUACUACUACUUCAACAUCGUAGUCUACUCUGAAGUUUUCCUUCACUCCUUUUCGUUCAACAUUUACCUUUCAAAAAAGGAAGUCGUAGGAGUUUUGGUUGCCUUGGCCCGGUCUAACCCAGAUUCAGUAGUUGUAGUGGUUUCUUACCGCUUCGGCAUUUGUCAAGGUUCGUUUUAGAACGUCUAACACACGGUGUAAGUCGUUAUAGACCAAGACAAAAUUUCUCCCUACUCCCACUCUUAUCUGGACCCCUGUGUCUUCAGCUCUUCAACAGACAACCCCAUUGAAGUCAUUGAAAUCUAUCGUUUCUAUGUCAAGUAUCAUACCUUCUUUUGGUUGUCGACCCACGUCAAGGGUUGUGAAGGCGGCACCACGGAAAUUCAGUUUCAAACUUCUUCCUUGUUAGAGUAAACUUCGAACGACCCGAAAGUAGUAGUCUUUUAUUCCUGGGACAUGAAAGAACAGUUAGAUCAAGACUAUUCGUAGAACUGACCUCGAGUCUCGACGUUUCAACAGCACACCGAAGAGGAAACUUACUGUAUACCUUAAGAAGACACCGGUGACUAUUUGGGGUACGGUGACGAUUGUGUAGUGUAUAAAGAAACACCUUACUAUUUCUUUAAUUGGGAUGAAGCUGUUCACUACCAUCUUGAAGACCGUGGUACGACGUUUGGUCCAAUAGAAGUUGACUUUUACGAAGAUGGUACAACUUACCUGCAGCACUCCCCGAUCCUGGAUACAUAUGUGGACUAUACCAAAGACUUGUAAGACCAUACGCUUUGGUGGUCGUAUCUCGUGACCUACGUCGUUCUUUACUAUUGUAUCCGUCAAAACCGUUGCGACAUUCACCUUUAUUUCUGCUCCCGUCGUAUUAAAGACUAUAUAACAGAAACCUCAAACUAGGUACCCUACUCAGCAUAAGUUGACGCUUGUUAAAACAAUUCUACGAAUUACUUAGACUUUUCUUGCUACGUGAAAAGUUGCGUGGAAGUACCUUUAGUUUUCCGUGGUCAUUACUCAGAUCUAAAAGCAAACGAUCUGUCCUAUUGGUUGCCUUGAAGGUUCUAAGUAGAAAGUCUUUAACACCGUGACUAGUCUUAAAAUCGAACGAUAGGGUCUUAAGAGUACCGUUGUCGAUAGUCUUACCACAACGUAAGGUUAGCGGCCUCCUUCUAAAAAGUUUCUCGUUAGGAGAACGAUACAGUCUAUAUCGUUGACGACCCAGAAGUUCCAGAUUUUAUAGACGUGGAGGACCUAAGCGCCGUGGUCGAUCUCAGGGUGGAGGACCUAAAAGUAGAGUCCUGCCCAACUUAGGGGGUGGACCUAAAAGAAGUCCUAAGAGUAGAGUCCUAUACAACUUAGUGGGAGUACCUAUAGGAAGCCCUAAAGGUAGAGUCCGACCUAGAUUAGGGGGAGUACCUAAAAGUAGAGUCCGACCCAGCUUGGGCAGAGCACCUAAAUUAAGACCUAAAAGUAGGGUCCUACCCAGAUUGUUAUAAGGAGGACCCAAAAGAAGACGCAAAAGACGACCCAAAAGUAGGGUCUUACCCAGAUUGGUCCGCAUACCGAGGUGUAAGAGUCUUUGAGCAGAUGAACUAUUAGAAAAACCAUCGGUGUGGUUAGUCAUAGUUGGAGUCUAUAGAUCUGUGUGUUCACUGUAUCUUAAAUAACUAGGACGAUAUAACCGACACCCGUUUCCCGCCUACGGUCCUCAAUCACUAAGUCCCAACCUAAACUUUUUGUGAGGAAAAGGUCGUGUUAACGUCUGUAGCUUAUUACUAGGUUCUGAAGUUGAUGAAUACGUCGUCUCGUACGGGAGAGUAGUUUUGGAGUCUAUAUGACUGGUACAAGUUCUACGUAAGUUGGGAUAAGUCUUACUAUUAAUAGACUGUAGGGCUGAAGACGGUGUCUUGGUACCAAGAGAUAGGGGAAUACGUGUCUACAGUGAGGUUGUUGGAUCUUUGAGUGUCGAACGUUUACCAGUGACCCUACCGACCUCACUAAACUCUGUCCCCUUAUUACAAGGGUACAGCCUGUACAGUUCCUACAAUAUAGGUUGACUUCGAUUGUUGAAAGUGUACGACCCAAGUUUACUAUACAUAUUGUCUUGGAAACCUGAAAUUAACAGAAACUUCCACUUAUAACUGGAGAGGCGCAGAUAAAACCCGCACAGAGAACAAGACUUUCAUUGACCAACGUGUCACGAACAGAUUACCAACACGAAUACUCGACCAUGCACUUUCAAGAUGACCUUCCGUCAACUACGUUUACACGGCUGUACUAGGACUCAAACUUGAUCUAGAAGGUUCGUGUUCCAAGGAAAGAUCCGCUUCAGUAUGUACUUGUCCACCAGGAACUUCAUAUACCUAUGUAUACCAAACCCACGCUACCUUCGACCGAACUCUUCUCUCUAUGGCAAAUCGCACAUACAAGAUAAAGCGGUAGCAUCGACACAUUUACAAAAGAACGGAACCCCUAAGCUCUCUGAGGAGACAUGUACUAAAACAUUGAACGGCGACCAUCCAGAAAACACCACGUAUCUUUCGAGUACAAAACCACACCCCAAACAACUUAGUUUUUGACUUUCGUUUACACUGUUAGUAGAUAUCGAGUUGACUGUUAACAAACCGUAGUUUGACUUCCUUCCAAAAACUGAUGUAAACUACAAACAAUGAUCUACAUUACACAACAAG
rnacentral:rRNA from 1 species